UACGUAGGUGGCAAGCGUUGUCCGGAUUUACUGGGCAUAAAGGGCGUGCAGGCGGUCUGUUAAGUCUAGGGUGAAAGCUCCCGGCUCAACUGGGGGAGGUCCUUGGAUACUGGCGGACUUGAGGGAGGCAGAGGAAAGUGGAAUUCCCGGUGUAGUGGUGAUAUGCGUAGAUAUCGGGAGGAACACCAGUGGCGAAGGCGGAUCUCUGGGCCUUACCUGACGCUGAGGAGCGAAAGCGUGGGGAGCGAACAGG
rnacentral:rRNA from 1 species